GGUCUCGUAGCUCAGCAGGAUAGAGCAGCGGUUUCCUAAACCGAAGGUCACAGGUUCGAAUCCUGUCGAGACCGCCA
rnacentral:tRNA from 1 species